GCAAAUAUUUUUUGAUAAAUCCCUUAUAGACUUGCACUGUAAUAAACCACGUAUCAAAACUCCAUCUUGAUUUCCCCUUCACACAUUAUUUCUCAUCCGACGUUACUGUUUGGGGCCUUUUCGCCAUCACCCAUAAAGUCAAAGAACUCGACGUGAUUUUAUCCGGUGUAUUAACAGAGGAGAUUUUAUCCAGUGUACAAUGAUUUUGCUGAAUUGAUUUUGAAUGUAGACAUGGGAGAGGAAAGGACAGAGGAGAC
rnacentral:lncRNA from 1 species